AACGAACGCUGGCGGCGUGCCUAACACAUGCAAGUCGAGCGCGAAAGUUGCCUUCGGGUGACGAGUAGAGCGGCGCACGGGUGAGUAACACGUGGGUAAUCUGCCCUUUAGUUUGGGAUAACUCAGGGAAACUUGAGCUAAUACUGGAUAAGACCAUGGGAUACUUUCCUAUGGGGAAAGUGGGGGACCUCUUCGGAGGCCUCACGCUUAAGGAUGAGCCCGCGGCCCAUCAGUUAGUUGGUAGGGUAACGGCCUACCAAGGCAAAGACGGGUAGCUGGUCUGAGAGGAUGAUCAGUCACACUGGAACUGAGACACGGUCCAG
rnacentral:rRNA from 1 species